UACAGAGGUCCCGAGCGUUGUUCGGAUUCACUGGGCGUAAAGGGUGCGUAGGCGGUUCUGAAAGUCUGAUGUGAAAUCUCCAGGCCCAACCUGGAAACGGCAUUAGAAACUACAGGGCUAGAGGCUUGGAGGGGGAACUGGAAUGCUCGGUGUAGCAGUGAAAUGCGUAGAGAUCGAGCGGAACACCAGUGGCGAAGGCGGCAUCCUGGACCAAUUCUGACGCUGAUGAGCGAAAGCUAGGGUAGCAAACGGG
rnacentral:rRNA from 1 species